rnacentral:rRNA from 1 species
CCUACGGGUGGCAGCAGUGGGGAAUAUUGGGCAAUGGGCGCAAGCCUGACCCAGCAACGCCGCGUGAAGGAAGAAGGCUUUCGGGUUGUAAACUUCUUUUGUCAGGGACGAAGCAAGUGACGGUACCUGACGAAUAAGCCACGUCUAACUACGGGCCAGCAGCCGCGGUAAUACGUAGAUGGCAAGCGUUAUCCGGAUUUACUGGGUGUAAAGGGCGUGUAGGCGGGACUUCAAGUCAGAUGUGAAAACCACGGGCUCAACCUGUUGCCUGCAUUUGACAAUGUAGUUCUUGAGUACUGGAGAGGCAGACGGAAUUCCUAGGGUAGCGGUGAAAUGCGUAGAUAUUAGGAGGAACACCAGUGGCGAAGGCGGUCUGCUGGACAGCAACUGACGCUGAGGCGCGAAAGCGUGGGGAGCAAACAGGAUUAGAUACCCUUGUAGUC